rnacentral:rRNA from 1 species
AUGAAAAGAUUGAAGAACGAGGUAGAAGAUACUGAGUUGUUCAGAUGUUUACAGGAAAUCCAUGGGAAAAACUACCACAACUUUGUAUUAAGCAAGAAGGUUCCAGUCGUUGGUAAUUUCAGGGAAGCCUACAUUGGCAUUGCUCCUGAGUUAGCCAAAGAGAUCGCGGAAGAAGUGGAUGUUAUCAUAAACUCUGCAGCAAAUACCACUUUUGGUGAGAGGUAUGAUGUAGCACUAGACAUCAACACCGUGGGGCCAUUCCGGAUAAUGAGUUUCGCGCAGCGGUUUCGAAGACUGAAGCUCUUCUUGCAAGUAUCAACAGCAUAUGUGAAUGGGCAGAGGCAAGGUUUGAUACUAGAGAAGCCAUUUUGCUUAGGGGAUACCAUGACAAAGGGGAUAGGUUCCUCAGAUUUUUCAGCACAUCAGAAUACCGUGUUGGAUAUCGAGGCUGAGAUCAAGUUGGCUUUUGACUCCAGAAGGCAUUCUUCUGCCUCUGCUUCUGUUACUCAAGAAAUGGAAGAGUUAGGUAGUCGAGGACUUGAAAGAGGAGAUUCCAUCAUAAUCUCUGGAAGCUAG